rnacentral:lncRNA from 1 species
GUGGUCUCCUGCUGCGGCCCGGCACCGAGGGGCGGCCGAGCCGGGCGGGAAGCGGAGGGGGCUAGGGGGCCGGGCGCGGCCAGCCAGGUGCCUGUGCGCGGGGAAGACAGGUUGGGGGGGAACCAGAAGUUCCAACAGUCUGAAACGCGACCUACUGCCUUAAUCUCAGACAUUUGCUUUUAUUUUUAAACUCACUUUUCUGACGUGACAACUCUUUCUGGAUCCUAAAUAAUUAAAACAAAGCCGAACGCGGUGGCGCACGCCUGUCAUCCCAGCGCUGGGGAGGCCAAGGCAGGAGGAUGGCGAGUUCAAACCAGCCUCAGCAAAAGCCGCAGCAAAAGCAAGGAGCUAAGCAACUCAGUGAGACCCUGUCUCUAAACAAAAUACAUGUGGCUCAGUGGACGAAUGCCCCUGAGUUCAAUCCCCAGUGCCAAAUAAUGAUAAUAAUAUGAACAAACAAAUGCAGCAAAUCUGAAGCUCUCUGCAAGGAUCUGGUACUGUACUUUUUAUGGACUCGCCCAUUCUAGGCAUUCCGUGUCAUCUGGAUCAUGGCCUUCUAUGACUGGCUCCUUUCAGGAGGCGUGUUCCAGCCGGAGUGGGUACUCUGGGUAGAGCUGGGCUUGCGGGGCUUUACUCCGUGAUAGGAAUGGACUCCGUUUUGUGUGUCCAUUCAUCAGUUUGUGGACUUUGGGUGGCUUCCUCCUCUAUGAACGUGCAGGUGUGAGUUUUUGGGCAGUCAUGUUUUCCUUUCUCGUGUAUCAAGGAGUACAAUUACUGGGUCAUAUGGUAACUUUAUGUUUAACUCUCGGAGAAACUGCCAGAUUGUUUUCCAAUGACUGCAUCAUUUUAUAGUCCCUUCAGCAAUGUAUCAGGAUUCUCAUCUCUCCAAAUCUUUGCCAAUACUUGUAAUCAUGUGAUUAUUUUUAAUUUUAGCCCUCCUAGUGGGUGUGAAGUGGUAUUGCACUGUGGUUUUGAUUUUCAUUUCCUUGUUAAUAAUGCUGACCCUGAUCAUAUGCUUAUUGGUCAUCUGUAUGUCUUUGAAAAAAAAUGCCUAUUCAGAUAAAUUUGAC